GGGGAUAUAGCUCAGUUUGUAGAGUGCUUGCCUUGCACACAAGUCCCUGGGUUCAAUCCCUAACACCUCCA
rnacentral:tRNA from 1 species